CUGGAAGCUACAAGGAAUGGGCAGGAGAUCACAAGAAGGCCGCUCUACCUUCUAUAGAUGUAUGUUCUGUGACCACAAGAAUGUGGAAGACAGGAAGAGAAAGAAUGGAGAGAAGAGAGAAGAGAGAAGCCAGUGGGAAUUCUAAGUAAUGUUCUUGUCAGUGGAUCUGACUCGGGCUUAGCACUCAGACUGCAGACUGGAAGGUGAUGGGAAGGCAGUCAUCAACUCAUUGUCGCCAACUCCAAUGAGACAUCUGACCUUUCAGUGUCUUCAUGAAUGAACCAGCAGCAAAGGAACAGUG
rnacentral:lncRNA from 1 species